AGAUCAGUGUUUCCCAACCUGGGGGGCAAGACCCCCUUGGGGGGGCGCUAGAGAGUCCGGGGGGUGCGCGAAGCUUUGUCGUGAAACAGACAUUCUGAACUGCCUUUGAUGGACUAAACUAGGAGAAGCAGUGCACUUAAUCAAUUUGCAAACAUAUCUCAGUUAUGGUGUUCAUUACUAUGAGCCAUCACCCACCCAUUUAACAUAAUAUGUUAAAUAUAUUAUUAACAAUAGUCAGUCUUUACAGCGAAAUUCUUUCCCUUAUGAACAAUAUUGAUUGAAACCAAACGUUUUUUAUUAAGUAUUGCUAUCGAAAAGUAGCAAGGAUGUCUGGGAAAUAUUGUUGUCAAAGAUUCCAAAGCCCACCCACGUUACAUGGAUCGACUGUCUGUUUCCCAUCACCGUUCCGGCCUUCAGUGCACUUGUCGCCAUCAAAACAAAAGCGCGCAACAGACUGGAGGUGCACAACGACUUUAGACUGGCUGUCACUCAUAUUACACCUGACAUUCCAGCCCUGGCUGUGGGUAUGCAAGCCCAAGGUUCACAUUAAUGAUUUCAUCUUUUUUUGUUCAUUGUUCAUUUGUUCAUUUUGUUGUUCAUUGCUUGGUGAAGAUGGAAUGAUUACUAAGUGGUAGGAAACUUGAGGGAAAAGAUUUUAGAACAGAAUGAUGUUCUUUUUUUUUGAAGCACAGCACAGCUUGGAUAUUUCACAUGUUUAAUGUCAACUGUUGCUUGCGUGCUGCUACUCUGUGUAAGCUAGGCACACAAAAUAAAGACGUAUGAUUUUCCUUUA